GUAUACUUCGGUAAGCUUCGGCUUACGACGGGACCACCUUAUGUUGUUUCAUCAUGGUCUGGACUGAUAGCUGAACUAACUGAAUGUGCGAAAUACACAUGAAUCACAAUCGCGCGUUUCGUUUGACGUCUGGAA
rnacentral:antisense_RNA from 1 species